UGAGGAAUAUUGGUCAAUGGGCGCAAGCCUGAACCAGCCAUGCCGCGUGCAGGAAGACGGUCCUAUGGAUUGUAAACUGCUUUUAUUUGGGAAUAAACCACAUUACGUGUAGUGUGCUGAAUGUACCGAAGGAAUAAGGAUCGGCUAACUCCGUGCCAGCAGCCGCGGUAAUACGGAGGAUCCAAGCGUUAUCCGGAAUCAUUGGGUUUAAAGGGUCCGUAGGCGGUUUAAUAAGUCAGUGGUGAAAGCCCAUCGCUCAACGAUGGAACGGCCAUUGAUACUGUUAGACUUGAAUUACAAUUAAGUAACUAGAAUAUGUAGUGUAGCGGUGAAAUGCUUAGAUAUUACAUGGAAUACCAAUUGCGAAGGCAGGUUACUACUUGUGGAUUGACGCUGAUGGACGAAAGCGUGGGGAGCGAACA
rnacentral:rRNA from 1 species